CCUACGGGGGGCUGCAGUCGAGAAUCUUCCACAAUGGACGAAAGUCUGAUGGAGCGACGCCGCGUGACUGAUGAAGUCUUUCGGGAUGUAAAGGUCUUUUAUGAGGGAUGACAUAGCGACAGUACCUCAUGAAUAAGGGGCUGCUAAUCACGUGCCAGCAGCAGCGGUAAUACGUGAGCCCCGAGCGUUAUCCGGAAUUAUUGGGCGUAAAGUGUGCGUAGGUGGCGUAGUUAGUCUUCUGUUUAAUCCUUCGGCUCAACCGAAGAACUGCAGAGGAAACGGCUAUGCUCGAGUAUGUGAGAGGUCUAGAGAACUCAUGGUGUAGGGGUGAAAUCCGUUGAUAUCAUGGGGAAUACCAAAUGCGAAGGCACUAGACUGGCGCAUUACUGACACUGAGGCACGAAAGCGUGGGUAGCGAAUGGGAUUAGAUACCCUAGUAGUC
rnacentral:rRNA from 1 species